rnacentral:rRNA from 1 species
GACGAACGCUGGCGGCGUGCUUAACACAUGCAUGUCGAACGGAGUGCCCAUGACAGAGGUUUCGGCCAAUUGAUUGGGUUACUUAGUGGCGGACUGGUGAGUAACGCGUGAGGAACCUGCCUUUCAGAGGGGGACAACAGUUGGAAACGACUGCUAAUACCGCAUGAUACAUUGUUGGGGCAUCCUGAUAAUGUCAAAGAUUUAUCGCUGAAAGAUGGCCUCGCGUCUGAUUAGAUAGUUGCGGGGUAACGGCCCACCAAGUCGACGAUCAGUAGCCGGACUGAGAGGUUGACCGGCCACAUUGGGACUGAGAUACGGCCCAGACUCCUACGGGAGGCAGCAGUGGGAAUAUUGGGCAAUGGAACGCAAGUCUGACCCAGCAACGCCGCGUGAAGG